GACCCCCUGAUACCUUAUAGUGAGCACCAAUUCUUUUAUAUAUCUUUUGUGAAUUUAAAGUUUGGGGUUUUAAAUAUCCUGUGAAUUUUUCUUUUUACCUUUGAAUUCUGUUUAGGAGUGUUAGACUGUCUGACUGAUUAUAGGUCUAGCCUCUUUUGUGCGGAUGUGUUGGAUAUUCUUCUUAUUUGUUUUACGACGGAAUUUUAAUGUGGCUGAUUGAUUUUGUUUUCAGGGUUUAUGGGUUUUUGUCUUGGGGACGAUUAGAUUGAACCCAUACUGGUUUUGGCCUUAUCAUUGUUAAAAUAUUCAAAUUUUUGUAUCUUUGAAGUUUGAACUGCAGUAAUUAUUGAUUUUGAUUAUGAUCUUAACACCCUUCUUGAGAAGCUAGUGCUUAGCCUUGGUAUUGAUUAGUCACUUAGUUUAUUUGAUUAUCUGACUUUGAUUAUUGGGUAUAGCCUCUUUGCUGCGCAUGUUUGUUGGAUAUUCUUGUUAUUUGUUUUAUGAUGGAAAUUCAAUGUGACUGAUGGACUUAUUGGGUUUUGUUUUGGGGGCGAUUAGAUU
rnacentral:misc_RNA from 1 species